GGAUUCCCCUAGUAACUGCGAGUGAAGCGGGAAAAGCUCAAAUUUAAAAUCUGGCGGUCUCUGGCCGUCCGAGUUGUAAUCUAGAGAAGUAAUGCCCGUGCUGGACCGUGUAUAAGUCUCCUGGGAUGGGGCGUCAUAGAGGGUGAGAAUCCCGUCUUUGACAUGGACUACCAGUGCAUUGUGGUAUGCUCUCAAAGAGUCGAGUUGUUUGGGAAUGCAGCUCAAAAUGGGUGGUAAAUUCCAUCUAAAGCUAAAUAUUGGCGAGAGACCGAUAGCGAACAAGUACCGUGAGGGAAAGAUGAAAAGAACUUUGGAAAGAGAGUUAAACAGUACGUGAAAUUGCUGAAAGGGAAACGCUUGAAGUCAGUCGCGUUGGCCAGGGAUCAGCCUUGCUCUUGCAUGGUGUACUUUCUGGUUGACGGGUCAGCAUCAAUUUCGACUGCUGGAAAAGGUCUUGGGGAAUGURGCAGCUCCGGCUGUGUUAUAGCCCCUGGUCAUAUACAGUGGUUGGGAUUGAGGAACUCAGCACGCCGCAAGGCCGGGUUUCGACCACGUUCGUGCUUAGGAUGCUGGCAUAAUGGCUUUAAGCGACCCGUCUUGAAACACGGACCAAGGAGUCUAACAUGCCUGCGAGUAUUUGGGUGGAAAACCCAGGUGCGCAAUGAAAGUGAAAGUUGAGAUCCCUGUCGUGGGGAGCAUCGACGCCCGGACCAGAACUUUUGGGACGGAUCCGCGGUGGAGCAUGUAUGUUGGGACCCGAAAGAUGGUGAACUAUGCCUGAAUAGGGUGAAGCCAGAGGAAACUCUGGUGGAGGCUCGUAGCGAUUCUGACGUGCAAAUCGAUCGUCAAAUUUGGGUAUAGGGGCGAAAG
rnacentral:rRNA from 1 species